CGGGAGGCAGCAGUGGGGAAUAUUGGACAAUGGGCGAAAGCCUGAUCCAGCCAUGCCGCGUGUGUGAAGAAGGUCUUCGGAUUGUAAAGCACUUUAAGUUGGGAGGAAGGGCAGUUACCUAAUACGUAAUUGUUUUGACGUUACCGACAGAAUAAGCACCGGCUAACUCUGUGCCAGCAGCCGCGGUAAUACAGAGGGUGCAAGCGUUAAUCGGAAUUACUGGGCGUAAAGCGCGCGUAGGUGGUUCGUUAAGUU
rnacentral:rRNA from 1 species